rnacentral:rRNA from 1 species
AUUGAACGCUGGCGGCAUGCUUUACACAUGCAAGUCGAACGGUAACAGGUUAAGCUGACGAGUGGCGAACGGGUGAGUAAUGCAUCGGAACGUGCCCGAUCGUGGGGGAUAACGCAGCGAAAGCUGCGCUAAUACCGCAUACGAUCUGAGGAUGGAAGCGGGGGACCGUAAGGCCUCGCGCGAUCGGAGCGGCCGAGGUCAGAUUAGGUAGUUGGUGGGGUAAAGGCUCACCAAGCCAACGAUCUGUAGCUGGUCUGAGAGGACGACCAGCCACACUGGGACUGAGACACGGCCCAUACUCCUACGGGAGGACGGAGUGGGGAAUUUUGGACAAUGGGCGAAAGCCUGAUCCAGCAAUGCCGCGUGCAGGAAGAAGGCCUUCGGGUUGUAAACUGCUUUUGUACGGAGCGAAAAGGCCCUCUCUAAUACAGUGGGCUCAUGACGGUACCGUAAGCAUAAGCACCGGCUAACUACGUGCCAGCCGCCGCGGUAAUAC